rnacentral:rRNA from 1 species
AUUGAACGCUGGCGGCAGGCCUAACACAUGCAAGUCGAACGAGUGGCGGACGGGUGAGUAAUGUCUGGGAAUCUGCCUGAUAGAGGGGGAUAACUACUGGAAACGGUGGCUAAUACCGCAUACUAUCGGAUGUACCCAGAUGGGAUUAGCUAGUAGGGGGGGUAAUGUCUCACCUAGGCGACGAUCUCUAGCUGGUCUGAGAGGAUGAACAGCAACACGGGAACUGAGAAACGGUCCAGACUCAUAGGGGAGGAAGCAGUGGGGAAUAUGGAACAAGGGGCUAAAGACGGAUGCAGCCAUGCGGCGUGUAUGAAGAAGGCCUUAGGGUUGGAAAGUACUUUCAGCGGGGAGGGGUUACCCGCAGAAGAAGCACCGGCUAACUCCGUGCCAGCAGCCGCGGUAAUAC